rnacentral:rRNA from 1 species
AUGCAUCCCGGGAGGAAGUAUGAUUUCGGUGCUUCAAAGCGUAGGAAGAAACAAAAACUAGAAGAAGAUGCUCAAACCCAAAAGGGCGCUCUCGAUAAAUUUGUUGUGAAAGAACCGCAAAGCAAUUCUGAAAACCAAACUCCUGAUGCUAAUAUUGAGAUUGAGGCUCACAUUGCAUAAUCUGAUGAACAUGAUGAUACUAACAUUGUAGUCUAAGGUGAUGAUUCUAUUCAUGUUGAUGAAGGUGAUGGUGCUAAUAUUGUCGUUGAAGGUAAUGUUGCUGAUAACAUCAAUAAUUCUGUUCAGCCAAAUAUAUUUGAUCCAAGAACUUGGGAUGCACUUGAUCCUACAAUGAUUGAUAUUUUGGCGCAAAGGGGCCCAAAAAGAGACCCGUCUAUUGAGCAUGGUCGUACAGACAAAUUUGGUAGAAGGUUUUCUGCAUUAUCGUACACUAGAGUUCUCUCGAAUGGAGAAAAGUGUGAUAGAGAGUGGCUUGUGUACAACAAAGAUCUUGACAAAGUAUUUUGUUUUUGCUGCAAAUUAUUUAGGAAGGGACAUGUGAGAGGUCAAUUAGCAAAUUAUGGCUUCAAUGACUGGCAUCAUCUUAUCAGUAGACUCAAAGAACAUGAAAAUGGCAGAGAACAUGUCACAAAUAUGAGUACUUGGUAUGACUUGCAUUUCAGGUUGGAGAAGAAUAAACAAUUGAUAAAGUUGCUCAACAAGAACUUGAAAAAGAAAGGGAGCAUUGGAGAAAAGUUUUGCUCAGGAUUCUUUUGA